CAUCCACCUACUGGUGAUCUUUGUGUCUUGGUUAGUUAUGUUCAGUAAAUAAUUUUACAUUUAAGUAAAAUUCUUGUGUCACAGACUCCCUGCUUGUCGCCUACUUUGAGCGAGUUUGCGACACAUGGCCAAACCCUGAAUGAUCAAAAGGCUCGGCUCCUUCUCACUUAUAUUCGGCCACAAUACCGCACAUGUCCUUUUCUCUCUGCUUGGCUCUGAUGGUGGCCAGUCUGCUGGAAAUAACCCUCAUCACCAACCUGCUGUGUGAGUCUGCCGACUUCUCUCCUGUCCCUCGUUGGAUCUCUGUCCUUAUUCUGCAGUUUCUGGGAUUUCUUGUUUGUACGACACAAAUGAAUAAGAAACCACGAGCUUCAGGUA